CACAUUCAAUCAUUCUCUCAAAUUCACCAUGAACCGUUUCAGAUUCGUUCAUUCUUGAAAAGAAAUAACAAAAGAUUCUGACGAAUGGGUAAACGUUCAGAAUUCAGAUACGACGCUUGAUCGAUAGUGCCGUUUGGGUCGGAAACGAUCUCGAAGAGGGAUGAAUGGAGAACCGAAUCAUCGGCGUCGUAUUCCUUCUCUAAGUGCGAUGAAACAACUUAUGAAUAUGCUUUUUUCAUGAAAGCUUUUGGAAUGUUACAUGAAUAAGUUAAUAUAUUAGGCCAGCUUCAGCAAGAUUAUUUUUUAUUGGUGGAAGACUUUUCAUGGAAAAAAGGAUGAGUUAUUUUGACCCUCCUAGUUAGUGCACAAUCAAUACUGAGGCUUCAGAGACACAGACAAGUUUCAACACCAAUGACCCGAAAGGAUAUUAUUUGUUCCAUCAAUGUUGUUUUGGAUGUCUAAAUGAAGUUUUAAGAAUACUUUACUUGUGAUAUUGAUGCCAAGAUGACCAUACUGAUGCCUCGAAUUUACUUCCGAUUUUGAGCCUUUGUAUUUUUUGAUGUGCAGUGAACCUAAUCCAAGGGACAGUCACACUUGCAGUGUCGUUGGUCAUAAACUAUUUGUGGGUACUAAUGGGAUGAAUUCACUGAUUGAUUUGCAUAUUAGAGAGUAUGCUAAAAUGUGUGGAUUUUAGCUCAAGUGGGUUGAUUUUUGCAUGAGCAAGUACAGCUCUGGCCUC